rnacentral:rRNA from 1 species
GACGAACGCUGGCGGCGUGCUUAACACAUGCAAGUCGAACGGAAAGGCCCUGCUUUUGUGGGGUGCUCGAGUGGCGAACGGGUGAGUAACACGUGAGUAACCUGCCCUUGACUUUGGGAUAACUUCAGGAAACUGGGGCUCAUAUCGGAUAGGAGCUCCUGCUGCAUGGUGGGGGUUGGAAAGUUUCGGCGGUUGGGGAUGGACUCGCGGCUUAUCAGCUUGUUGGUGGGGUAGUGGCUUACCAAGGCUUUGACGGGUAGCCGGCCUGAGAGGGUGACCGGCCACAUUGGGACUGAGAUACGGCCCAGACUCCUACGGGAGGCAGCAGUGGGAAAUAUUGCGCAAUGGGCGGAAGCCUGAUGCAGCAACGCCGCGUGCGGGAUGACGGCCUUCGGGUUAUAAACCGCUUUCGCCUGUGACGAAGCGUGAGUGACGGUAAUGGGUAAAGAAGCACCGGCUAACUACGUG